GACGAACGCUGGCGGCGUGCUUAACACAUGCAAGUCGAACGGAAAGGCCCUGCUUUUGUGGGGUGCUCGAGUGGCGAACGGGUGAGUAACACGUGAGUAACCUGCCCUUGACUUUGGGAUAACUUCAGGAAACUGGGGCUAAUACCGGAUAGGAGCUCCUGCUGCAUGGUGGGGGUUGGAAAGUUUCGGCGGUUGGGGAUGGACUCGCGGCUUAUCAGCUUGUUGGUGGGGUAGUGGCUUACCAAGGAUUUGACGGGUAGCCGGCCUGAGAGGGUGACCGGACACAUUGGGACUGAGAUACGGCCGAGACUCCUACGGGAGGGAGCAGGGGGGAAUAUUCACAAUGGGCGGAAGCCUGACGCAGCAACGCAGCGUGCGGGAUGACGGCCUUCGGGUUGUAAACCGAUUUCGCCUGUGACGAAGCGUGAGUGACGGUAAUGGGUAAAGAAGCACCGGCUAACUACGUG
rnacentral:rRNA from 1 species